UUCAAUAAUUGAAUUUCAAUUGACCAUUUAAGAGGGAAAAUCGAUCGCCAUCUGGUGGAUUCUAUUGGAAACAUCUUCGUAUUCAUCAUAACAAGUUUUCAUUUUUUGUUUCCUCCAUUUUGUUUGGAUUAAUUUUCGUCUUAAUUGUUAUCCAAAUUGUUUGAUUUUCUUUUCCAUUUAAUAAUUUAAUUGAUUCUUUAAGGCUCCUUGAUUGUUGUUCCUCGGUUGUAAUUGUCUCUUUCUUCCUGUGGUGAUGAUUCAUUUUUUGGUUUACUUGUUCUUCUCUAUGAUCGUUUGGUUUGGCUGGUGAUUUACAGUUAAUUGGAUUGAUUAUGUCGGAAUUUUAAUUUUAUAUUGGUAGAUUCGAGUUUAAAAUUAAUUGUUGGUUAAAAGAGCUUUUGAUGGCAAGGUAAUGAUGAUUUUGGAUAAUUGAGCAAAAAAAGAGAGUCACUUGUUCCACUGGUCAAGGGCACUUUAAAUGGAUGGAAUUUGAUAUUUUAAGAUGUAGAUUAUUUGUUUAUGUCACAUUUUGCUUUAUGUUUUCGUCGUUUUUUGCUAGAAAAAAAAUCACAGUUACACGUCCAAUGUAGCACUAUUGUUGUUACCAUUACGAUUGGCUGCUGCAGCGGCGGCCAUAAAUCUUGGUGUGGUUGUACCAUUUGAGAGACCAUGUGAGGUUCGUACAGCAACCGA